rnacentral:rRNA from 1 species
ACGAACUUCCGUUAAUUGAUUAUGACGUACUUGUACUGAUUGAGAUUUUAACACGAAGUGAGUGGCGAACGGGUGAGUAACACGUGGGUAACCUGCCCAGAAGUAGGGGAUAACACCUGGAAACAGAUGCUAAUACCGUAUAACAGAGAAAACCGCAUGGUUUUCUUUUAAAAGAUGGCUCUGCUAUCACUUCUGGAUGGACCCGCGGCGUAUUAGCUAGUUGGUGAGGUAAAGGCUCACCAAGGCAGUGAUACGUAGCCGACCUGAGAGGGUAAUCGGCCACAUUGGGACUGAGACACGGCCCAGACUCCUACGGGAGGCAGCAGUAGGGAAUCUUCCACAAUGGACGCAAGUCUGAUGGAGCAACGCCGCGUGAGUGAAGAAGGGUUUCGGCUCGUAAAGCUCUGUUGUUAAAGAAGAACGUGGGUAAGAGUAACUGUUUACCCAGUGACGGUAUUUAACCAGAAAGCCACGGCUAACUACGUGCCAGCAGCCGCGGUAAUACGUAGGUGGCAAGCGUUAUCCGGAUUUAUUGGGCGUAAAGCGAGCGCAGGCGGUCUUUUAAGUCUAAUGUGAAAGCCUUCGGCUCAACCGAAGAAGUGCAUUGGAAACUGGGAGACUUGAGUGCAGAAGAGGACAGUGGAACUCCAUGUGUAGCGGUGAAAUGCGUAGAUAUAUGGAAGAACACCAGUGGCGAAGGCGGCUGUCUGGUCUGCAACUGACGCUGAGGCUCGAAAGCAUGGGUAGCGAACAGGAUUAGAUACCCUGGUAGUCCAUGCCGUAAACGAUGAUUACUAAGUGUUGGAGGGUUUCCGCCCUUCAGUGCUGCAGCUAACGCAUUAAGUAAUCCGCCUGGGGAGUACGACCGCAAGGUUGAAACUCAAAAGAAUUGACGGGGGCCCGCACAAGCGGUGGAGCAUGUGGUUUAAUUCGAAGCUACGCGAAGAACCUUACCAGGUCUUGACAUCUUCUGACAGUCUAAGAGAUUAGAGGUUCCCUUCGGGGACAGAAUGACAGGUGGUGCAUGGUUGUCGUCAGCUCGUGUCGUGAGAUGUUGGGUUAAGUCCCGCAACGAGCGCAACCCUUAUUACUAGUUGCCAGCAUUAAGUUGGGCACUCUAGUGAGACUGCCGGUGACAAACCGGAGGAAGGUGGGGACGACGUCAAAUCAUCAUGCCCCUUAUGACCUGGGCUACACACGUGCUACAAUGGAUGGUACAACGAGUCGCGAGACCGCGAGGUUAAGCUAAUCUCUUAAAACCAUUCUCAGUUCGGACUGUAGGCUGCAACUCGCCUACACGAAGUCGGAAUCGCUAGUAAUCGCGGAUCAGCAUGCCGCGGUGAAUACGUUCCCGGGCCUUGUACACACCGCCCGUCACACCAUGAGAGUUUGUAACACCCAAAGCCGGUGGGGUAACCUUUUAG